UUGAAAGGGAAACGAUUGAAGUCAGUCGUACCGACGAGAAAUCAACUCAUCGAAUGGGUAUUCGCGGGCGUACAGAGCUUCACGGCCUCAUCGUUUGCGUAUGCAUGUUCUUUGGGUGUACUUUUUCGUAUGGUAGGUCAACGUCGGUUUCGAUUACUAUAAAAUGAUCGGAGGAAUGUAGCUUCGAUUUCGGUUGAAGUGUUAUAGCCUUUGGUAGAUGUAGUGAUUGAGACCGAGGAUUGCAACGAAUACCCUUUUGGGCUAUCCGUCUGAUCUCUGAAAGUUGCUUAGGUGCCGAAAGCUUGCUUACGGUCAUUUAAGUUAACGGUCAAAAGGUUAGAACGUGAUUACAUUCGUUAAGGAUGUUGACGUA
rnacentral:rRNA from 1 species